UACAGAGGUCUCAAGCGUUGUUCGGAUUCAUUGGGCGUAAAGGGUGUGUAGGUGGCGCGCUAAGUCGGGUGUGAAAUUUCGGAGCUUAACUCCGAAACUGCAUUCGAUACUGGCGUGCUUGAGGACUGGAGAGGAGACUGGAAUUCAUGGUGUAGCAGUGAAAUGCGUAGAGAUCAUGAGGAAGACCAGUGGCGAAGGCGGGUCUCUGGACAGUUCCUGACGCUGAGGCACGAAGGCCAGGGGGAGCAAACGGG
rnacentral:rRNA from 1 species